rnacentral:lncRNA from 10 species
AUUGCAUCCUCCAAAAACAUAUGUCAAAAUCCUAAUCUCCAGUGUCUUAGAAUGUGACCUUACUUGGAAAUACAGUUUUUGCAGAUUUAAUUAGUUAUGAUGAAAUAAUACUGGAGUAGGGUGGGCCCUUGAUCCAAUAUAACUGGUGUCCUUAUAAGGAAAGGGAAAUGUAGACACAGAGACAGAGACGCAUGGAGAGGAGAAUGCCACGUGAAGACAGACACAGAUGGAAGACAGCCAUGUGAAGAUGGAGACAGAAAUUGGAGUUAUGCUACCCAAGCCAAGGAAUGCCUAGGAGCGGGAAAAGGAAGGAAGGAUCAUUCUCUGGAGGCUUCCAGAGACAGCACUUUGAUUUUAAGAUUUCUAGCCUCCAGAAUGGAGAGAGAUUUCCUGGGAUCUCUUUCCAAAGAAAACUAUCAACAAGCAAGCAGCCUUUACCAUCAGAAAGAACCCACGGUGAACUAGCAAUGGAGUUCUGCCAGAUAUUUGUGACUGAUUUUUUAUCACUAUAAGACAAGCCCUAGAAUAGUACCUUGCACUUAAUAGGACUCAGUAAAUAUAUAUUUGUUGAAUGAAUGAAUGCACAAUAACAUUGAUCCUUUAAUAAUUGUAUGUUAUAUACAUUGCAGUUAACUGCAUAUUCUACUAAGGUAAUAUCUUUGUAGGGAUCCAGACUUUGCAUUUCUUUUCCUUGCCUACAUGGAUAUUAUGUGUGGUUAAAAAAUCAAGAUAAGCUGUGUAUGUGGAAAGUUAUAUAAUUUUAACCCUAAUAUCAUUAUUAAAAAUAAAAUCAGAUUAGUACUGUUUACUUGUUUUCAUAGAAGCAUGCAGAUUGCAGGUACUCAAGUCUAAAAAUGACUCCUUGCAUGUGUCUUCACAUUCUGCUUCUUAAAAUAUAUUAUAUAUAUUUAAAAUAUAUUAUUAAUGAUUUUGCAGAGGUUGCUAGGAAUGAUUAUAUGAAACAACGCUAUCUGUAAGGCUCUUUCAGAAUCUAGAGAUUAAUUCUCUGACCCUGCAUACUUGAAUUCAGAGAAGAGUAGAAUUUCAUGACAAAUGCUAACUUAAAUG